CCUGCCGCUAGAGGUGUCACGGUUGUGACUGCUUGUGUCUUCUGUGUCGGUAGGUGGCAGGAAAAGAGAAGCUGUUUCUGCUCAGUGUGUUCUAACCUGUGAAUAUCUGAUUGCUUAGUAUCCUCACAUU